UGUUAUGGCGGCUGUGCGCGAGAGACUUCGAGUCUGUCGGGCUUUUGGCUUUUUUCGCCCGGGUUCCAACUCGUGUACAGCUGCCACCUCU
ncrna:unclassified sequences C4 antisense RNA